rnacentral:misc_RNA from 1 species
GAGAAGAAAGAGAGUGAGAGAGAGAGAGAGAAACCGGCUUUCUGCGUCUCGGAAGACUCUCGCUCUGGCUUUCUGCGGAGAAUUCUUCGCGUCCAGAUAAGCUCCACUAGUCCAGCACUCUUUCCGGACCAUUGGCGUCGGCAGUAGCACUUUGUCGUCGGCGCGCUUUCCAACACACCCGGAUCGGAUCGGAAUCGAAAUUGGAUCGCUUCGACUAUGCCAUACUAUACUAUGCUAUACUAUACCAUGUCUAGCUGCGAUUAAAUCGUGAUCGCGAUCGCCAUCGGUAUUGGAAUUGCAAUUGAAAUCGGGACUCGGGGAGACCGAGAUUGUGGAGCUGCUGGUCAGGCAGUAUAAUUGCAGCAAUUUAACGUGGACGCUGAACCGCUGACGCUGCUGUACGUAAAUACUUUUGAUGUUUCUGCAAUCGGAGACUCCAGCACGGCGAACAAAAGAACGUUUAGCAAAUUCGCCAAGUUCCCAAAAUAAAUGAGCUUCGGUGUUGAGUUACGCAAAGAAUGGUUUCCUAGUAGUGACUGACAGGUCUGCCCGAUCGGUAUCCCCAUUAAUUUCGUAUCUGACCGAUCUGAUCGACUUUGAUCUAAUCCGAAGGCAAGGUCGUUCGAGGUUCAUUCAAGCGAAGCCCCAAAUUGGUUAUCUGAGCCGCUUAGAAAACACGGUUCGGUUUCAGUUUCGGUUUUCAAUCGGUUUCUUUGGGCUUCUCGACUCCUCAGAUUGAAUUUAUUGAAAACGUGCUGGACGCGGAAGGAUAGUUGGUGAAAAAACGCUCAGAAAUGUGCCUUUAAAUCAGUGGCCAAAAAGUGAUGCAGUCAAUUUAAGACGGUCUAUUAAUAUUCAGUGCGGGUCCGAAAAUGUCAAUCACCUGAUUACAAACGACAAACAAAAGCAGUGAAGUGCUCGAAUUCGGGUUGCAUAAAUAAGGCGACCGACCACAUGGAAAGUUGAAAUUAAAAGUCAGACUGUGAAGAUACGACGAUUUUUCACCGGAGUUCACAACGCAGCACUUUUUAACCAUUCAAAAGAAAUGGCUUCCACAAGUAGCAGUCAGCCGGAGAAGAACCGAUCACAUGUCCCGCUUUGCCGCCUGGGAACAGAGCCUGUCAGUCGCACGAGUGCCGCUGAGGAGCCCAGUGGGCAGAGGGAAUGCUACUACUACACCCCAGCUACCUCCCCGCACCACCACCAUCACCAUCAUCACCAGCACCACCAUCACCAUCGCCUGAAGCAGCACCACCGGCAUCAUCAUCAUCAUCAGCAUCAUCAUCAUCAUCAACAGCAGCACAAUCAUCAGAACCAGCAGAUGCAGCACCACUGGCCAUCGCGACUGGGUCCAAUUGGUCCCUGGUUGGGCGCAAUGACCGCCUAUCGACUGCUGACAAUCAGCCUCCUAAUUGGCAUUCUGUGUCCACAUCACGUCCAGGGAGCGGACCCCAAGUUCGAUCCGACCACGCGCAUGCGCCUGGUUCUUGUGCCGGCGGACGCACAGGUCAACUCGGUAAUCUACAGGUUGCGUGCCACCGACGAGGAGUUCGACUAUCCGCUGACCUUCGAGUUCGUGGGCGAUGCCAGCGCCUCCACCGUCAAGGUGGAAUCGCUUCCCUGCACCAAGUACAAUUCCGUGUGCCAGGCGAAUAUCGUUCUCCAGCGACGACUGGAGCCGGGCAGAUACUAUGACUUCCAGGUAUCGGUGAAGGACACCAAGGGCGGGAUGACCACGCAACUCUGCUCAAUUACGGCCACCAAUUUCACCACGCCGCACGACCUCAUCUUCCCGCACAAGCCCGGCAUCAUAAUGAUACCCGAGGAUGCUAAACGCGGCACGGAAUUGGAUUACGUAAUUGCGCGCAAGAAUCCACUGUUCCAGAAACCAGUCUACCUCGAGUUAUGGGGUUCUCCGCUGUUUGCCAUAAGACAAAAAAUCGUAUCUUCCGAGACCACAGAAGGCACCGUUUUCCUCCUGGGACCAUUAGACUUUGAGAAGCAAGCCAUGUACCAUCUAACGAUACUAGCCAAUGAUGCUUAUGCUGAGCCUGGUCAGGAUAGCCGCAAUAUAGCGGGCAUGGAGAUAGUGGUUAUCGUGCAGGAUGUUCAAGAUCAGCCGCCAGUGUUCACAUCUGCUCCCCCAGUGACCAAACUGCCACCGGGAAUACUGCCAGGCGAUAAGAUAUUGCAAGUCCACGCCGAGGAUGGUGACAAGGGGAAUCCCCGGGAGGUUCGCUACGGCUUGGUAUCCGAGAACAAUCCGUUCACCUCGUUUUUCGACAUCAACGAAACAAGCGGCGAGAUCUUCCUGAUGCGACCCCUCGAGGACAUUGCCUUCAUCACGCAUGUGGGUGAUCCGGUGCUGCUCACCGUAAUUGCGGAAGAGGUUAAGGUGGGUCGUGACGAGCCGCCCGCACUGGCCUCCACGGUCCAAUUGGCGUUCUUUCUGCCCGAUCGCACCAAUUCGCCGCCGUACUUCGAGAACGAUCACUAUGUCUCGAGGGUGGACGAGAACGCCCCACAAGGCACCGCACUGACGUUCGUUGAUCCCUACGUGCCGCGGGUCUACGACGAUGAUACGGGCAAGAACGGCGUCUUCUCGCUGACGCUGCUCAACAACAACGGCACGUUCGAGAUCAGCCCCAAUGUGGCGGAACGGAGUGCCGGGUUCCUGAUCCGGGUGCGCGACAACUCCAUGCUGGACUACGAGCAGCAGCAGUCGGUGCAGUUCCAAAUCCUGGCCCAGGAACUCGGACCGGCGACCAAUCUUUCGGCUCUGGUCAACGUUACGGUGUAUAUCAACGAUGUGAACGACAAUGCUCCGGUUUUUGAGCAGCCAGCUUAUUCAGUAGAGCUUCCCGAGAACAUGACGGCGGGCACAAAGGUGGUCCAAGUGCUCGCCACCGAUCCGGAUUCCGGAUUGGGCGGCAAAGUGCGCUAUACGGCUAUUCUAGGCUAUCUGAACACCUCACUGAAUCUGGACGCGGAGACGGGACUGAUCACGGUGUCCACCAACAAGCAUGGUUUCGAUCGGGAAGUGAUGCCCGAGUACCAUCUCUAUGUGGAGGCCAGGGACAUGGAUGGCGAGGGAAAUCGAGCUCAGGUGCCAUUAAUAAUCAAACUAAUAGAUGUCAACGAUGAAACGCCCAUCUUCGAUAAGGAUCUUUACGAGUUUAUACUCACACACGAUCUGAUGGGCUUCACCACAACCGCUGUUAUUCAUGCGGAGGACAAGGACGCCACAGCUCCCAAUAACGAGGUGCGCUACGAGAUCAUCAAUGGCAACUACGACAAUCAGUUUGUUCUGGACAAGGUGACCGGUGAGCUGACCGUUAGGGAGAAGAUCCACCUGCGCUCCAAGAAGAAUGCCAAGACGAGACGACGUCGGCAGGCGGGAUCGGAUGAUGAGGAUACGGAUAUAUUCAUCCUGACAGCCCGGGCCUAUGAUCUGGGAGUACCGGUGCGGUUCUCUACCACCACGAUUCGUGUUUAUCCACCAGAGAGCCGGAAGCGCACCGUCAAGUUUGUGGUGCCAGGACACAAUCCGGACAAGGCCAAAACCGAAGAAACCUUGUCGGCCCUCUCAGGCGGCAAGGUGUACAUCCACAAUAUCCGACCCCUGAGACCCGAUGAGCCGGGUGCCAAGGAUAUACCAGCGGGAAAUCCGGGAAUCAAGGAGCGAAGUGUAGUGACGGCCACCGUGAUCUACGAUAGCUCCUCCGUGGUGGACAUAUCGGAGAUCCAGCAACGGUUGUCCCAUCACAACAACUCGUAUGCCAUUAUGCCGCAGGACACCUCCAGCACAGACAAUCUCACUCCCCUGCAGACGCAGUACAAGGCCGAGAACAAGGUGCUCUUCUGGUUGCUCAUCCUGUUGGCCACCUUGGUGGCACUCACCAUUCUGAUCCUGCUGCUUUGCUGCAUCUGCUCCUGGUGUCCACUUUACGGAGCGGCGACGUCGCAGAGUGGAUGGGAAGACGCGAUGCCUGGUCAGCGGAGAAACCUCCAGAUACCCGAACGAAGCCCACCCGCUGGGAGUUCCACGAUGGACGUGAACAGCUUGACGAAGACGUAGGAAGGGGCCAGGACAUCGGCGAAGGCGAUCGGCGACACAUCCAAUCCGCCGGGGAGCAGCAGCGACGUGUUCGCAUCAAGCAUAACCGCACAGCCAAAGACGACCUUCAUCUUAAUUUCCAUAACUCUAGGACUAAUCUGAUCAACGACCGCGACGUAUACAUGGAGGAU